GCAAGCAGGAGCGGGGUAGGGAUCUCUCAGCUGUGAAUAGAGGCUUCACGCUGUCUAUCAGAGCUUGUGUGCAAGCAGGAGGGGGCAGGGAUCUCUCAGUUAGGCAACAGGAAGCCUCCCUUCCCAGCUGAGGGAUUCCUGCCCCCUCCUGCUUGC